CCCUGCUCCCCUCCCCCACCGCGCCCUCCGCGUCCAGGCGGCCCGAGUCUCGGCUCCUUUUGUCUGGCUUCCCGGAACCUGGCCAGGGGAUCCACAGGCGUGGGGAAGGUCGGAGGAGAAAGGUCGAGCAGACGGAAACGUGCACUUUUGGGUCGUGAGAGCGAAGAAGCCAUGCACACCGGCUUUUGACAAACACCUGCCAAACACCUGCCGUGCUGCAGAGCAAGAGGGACUGCUGUCACCCUGAGCAGGCGACUCCCCGUGCCUGGGCCUCCGCAUCCUUCUCUUAGAAUGAACAGACCUGGCCUCCAGCUCUGAUGGCUACGACAGAUGUAAAAGAAUCUCACGCAGCACCCGCUCCCCAGAAAGGUGGCACUGCCCAC
ensembl:lncRNA